AACUUGAAAUGAAGCCGAUAAUAAUAUUUGUAUAUGCAAGCGUCACAAUGUGUGGGUCCUGUGGACCAAGGAUUACAGCCACUGAGUUUCCCAAUCCAACACCCAUUUCAACAGAAGCCGAGGUUGAGACUGAGAAAAUGGAUUACAAUUUCUCUACAUCAACUGAAUACUCGCAACUUGAAGCAACACCCUUUCCGACGACCCAAAACAAUGAGCCCCCAAGUGUUCAAGAUUCAUCAAAAGAAACUAUACUUGGGUCAAGAAAUUUUGAAGAACUUAAUGACUCCACAACAAACCUUCCAACAAAUGGAAAAAAUAAUGAUACUGAUGUCAAGAUUGAUUGCUAUUAUUUUUUUGGAGAGCAAUGUAGGUUUUAUGAUGCCCAUCAAAUAAUGCUCAGUGCUCCUCUACUGAAAGUGCUUGCCCGGAGAAGUUCCUGACUUAAAAAGGUUAUGUGCCUUUUGAUGUGAAGAGAAAUAAUUAAUUAAAAAUGCAACUUGAUUUAGUUUAAAUUUUCAUUGUAAAUAUGUGUAAAACAUGGCACAUGGCAAUAAAACCCGUUCCUUCUAACCUUUUAUCUGAAUCUAUAAUUAAUGAAUUACUAACUAGCAUCGAGAUCAAUAUAAAAUCAAUCGCAACUACGAUCAGGUUCCAGUACCAGAGCAAAAAUGAAGCUAGCUAUUCUUCUACUCUUUCUUGCCUUUGUUGUCGUUGUGAGUGGAAUUGACAACGAUCCUGGGAAAUUAGCAGAAAAACCAUUAACGGAUUCUAACGAAGACGUACCCGCAGCCAUCGUGCUAAGAAAAGUCCUCAAAAAAAUUGCAAACGGACUUCCGGAAGAAAGCUCAACGACUCCAAAAACACAUAAAGGAAAGGAUGUUGGAAAAAAUUCUAUUGACGAGCCUGUUCCGGCAGCUAUUGGAGACAGACUUAGCGCGGGUCUUUUGAAAAUUACCUAGACCCCCCACAAGGGGUCUAGAUGCUUAGAAAAUUACAAAUAAAGACCAAUAUAGUUUAAUCCAAAUACAAAAUAAAGUUAACAGAAUUGCACUUUA